rnacentral:rRNA from 1 species
GCUGGAGUUACUAGUAAUCGCAGAUCAGAAUGCUGCGGUGAAUGCGUUCCCGGGUCUUGUACACACCGCCCGUCACACCACGGAAGUUGGGGGCGCCCGAAGCCACUUAGCUAACCCAUUUGGGAAGCGAGUGUCGAAGGUGAAAUCAAUAACUGGGGUGAAGUCGUAACAAGGUAAC